UGAGUAACACGUAUCCAACCUGCCGACAACACUGGGAUAGCCUUUCGAAAGAAAGAUUAAUACCGGAUGGUAUAGUUUUCCCGCAUGGGAUGAUUAUUAAAGAAUUUCGGUUGUCGAUGGGGAUGCGUUCCAUUAGGCAGUUGGCGGGGUAACGGCCCACCAAACCUACGAUGGAUAGGGGUUCUGAGAGGAAGGUCCCCCACAUUGGAACUGAGACACGGUCCAAACUCCUACGGGAGGCAGCAGUGAGGAAUAUCGGUCAAUGGACGAGAGUCUGAACCAGCCAAGUAGCGUGAAGGAUGACUGCCCUAUGGGUUGUAAACUUCUUUUAUACGGGAAUAAAGUGAGCCACGUGUGGCUUUUUGUAUGUACCGUAUGAAUAAGGAUCGGCUAACUCCGUGCCAGCAGCCGCGGUAAUACGGAGGAUCCGAGCGUUAUCCGGAUUUAUUGGGUUUAAAGGGAGCGUAGGCGGGUUGUUAAGUCAGUUGUGAAAGUUUGCGGCUCAACCGUAAAAUUGCAGUUGAUACUGGCGACCUUGAGUGCAACAGAGGUAGGCGGAAUUCGUGGUGUAGCGGUGAAAUGCUUAGAUAUCACGAAGAACUCCGAUUGCGAAGGCAGCUUACUGGAUUGUAACUGACGCUGAUGCUCGAAAGUGUGG
rnacentral:rRNA from 1 species